CAGUCGUACCUGCGGGUAAUCAGCCUUUUGGGCAUGAUUCUGUGGAGCGUGAGGGGUUGAAAGGGAAACGAUUGAAGUCAGUCGUACCUGCGGAUAAUCAGCCUUUAGGAUGCGAUUUUGUGGAGCGUGAGGAGCUAAUCGCCUUCAUGCCUAUAUAUUCGUGUACUUGGGGUGUACUUAUUCGUGAGG
rnacentral:rRNA from 1 species